GGGUCAGCAGGUUGGUCGUGCCACCGGUACGUACUGGUCUCACUGACUCCUCCUUCCUGAAGAACCGUAAUGCCAUUAAUUUGGUGUUGCGGGGAAACAGGACUGUUACUUUGAAAAAAUUAGAGUGUUUAAAGCAAGCUAACGCUUGAAUACAUUAGCAUGGAAUAAUGAAAUAGGACGAUCGAUCCUAUUUUGUUGGUUUCUAGGAUUGACGUA
rnacentral:rRNA from 1 species